rnacentral:rRNA from 1 species
ACCGGCGAACGGGUGAGUAUAACGUAGACAACUUCCCUCGCAAACGGGGAUAACUCCGGGAAACCGGAGCUAAUACCCGAUGAUAUCCGGAGGGAGCAUUCUUUCCGGAUCAAAGGCCCGAAAGGGCGUUGCGAGAUGGGUCUGCGCCCCAUUAGAUAGUUGGCGGGGUAAAAGCCCACCAAGUCAACGAUGGGUAGCUGGUCUGAGAGGACGACCAGCCACACUGGAACUGAGACACGGUCCAGACUUCUACGGAAGGCAGCAGUGAGGAAUAUUGCUCAAUGGGCGAAAGCCUGAAGCAGCGACGCCGCGUGAGGGAUGAAAUCCGUUAGGAUGUAAACCUCUUUUAUAGGGGAAGAACGACCCGGUUACCGGGUGUGACUGUACCCUAUGAAUAAGCACCGGCCAACUACGUGCCAGCAGCCGCGGUAAUACGUGGGGUGCGAGCGUUGUUCGGAAUUACUGGGUGUAAAGGGUCCGCAGGCGGGCGAACAAGUCGGUGGUGAAAGUUCAUGGCUUAACUGUGAAAUUGCCUUCGAUACUGCUCGUCUUGAGUUCGAGAGAGGAUGAUGGAAUUCAUGGUGUGGCAGUGAAAUGCGUAGAGAUCAUGAAGAACACCAGUUGCGAAGGCGGUCAUCUGGCUCGAUACUGACGCUCAGGGACGAAAGCGUGGGUAGCAAACAGGAUUAGAUACCCUGGUAGUCCACGCCUU